GUCCAUGCCGUAAACGAUGAUAGCUAGAUGUGUGAGGUAUUGACCCCUUACGUGUCGAAGUCAACACGAUAAGCUAUCCGCCUGGGGAGUACGGUCGCAAGAUUAAAACUCAAAGGAAUUGACGGGGGCCCGCACAAGCGGUGGAGCAUGUGGUUUAAUUCGACGCAACGCGAAGAACCUUACCUAGGCUUGACAUGUACGGAAGUCGCUGGAAACAGCGAUGUGCUCGCAAGAGAACCGUAACACAGGUGCUGCAUGGCUGUCGU
rnacentral:rRNA from 1 species